CCCGCCCGCCGCGCUUGGGGGUGGGCAGGAAGGGGUUACCCCCAGGCAGGGCAUCCCCAGACACAGCACCCAGCCGGGGUUGGGCUACAUCAGGGGUCCCCACCUGGGGGGCGCCCAGCCCUGGGCAUCUCUGGGGGGACGUGGGAGAAAUGGUGGCAGGGCGGAUUUCGUGCCCGUGAUGAUCAUAGCGGGCAUGGGAGGGGUUCAGGUGCGCUGGGAGGGCUACGAUGUGGGAGGCGGGCGCCACAAGGAAAAGUUGGGGGACCUCUGGAUGAGGGGACCUGUGGAGGGCCCGUGUAGCCCCAGCACACCGGGAUCCUGCCGCUGUGCAGGUCUCAGAGGCUGGAGAUGUCCAGGAUGCCCAGCCCUCCCUGGCUGCUGGAAAACCAGGACCAUGCAGGCAGAAUCGGUGGAAAACCCACAGUCCCAACUUCAGCCACAAGGCCCUGCAUGCAGAGGAAGGUCCUGGUCACCGAACACCCUGCAGUCACCGUGUGUGAGGAGUGACCCAGCUGGAGAAACCAUGUGUGGAAUGAACAUUUUUGCACAGAUCAGAGUCCCUUGCACAAAGCCAGAGCAAGUGGGGUGCCGUGACUGUCGCAGAAUCCCCAAUCACAGUAGCUGGGGGCACCUCAUGCCUUGUCCUGUUGUACCAAUAACCCAUUCCUUGACUAAAUGGUCAGUCGCUAAAAAAGGCCCCACUACCAGUAAGUCUGAGGGCUGAUCCGGUGAGAUGAAGAGGCCUCUCAGUUCUCAUUAACACAAGGGAUACACAAAGAAGGAAGGCAUAAGGCUGGGCCCAGUGACCUCAAUGGGAUAUGAAGGCACGUGGCCUCCGAUGGGAUGAAGCUUGCAGUGCCCAGCUCUCCUCGGCUUGUUUCCAUCCAUUUCAGUGGUGCAGGGUCAGCCCAGCUGCAGACAGCGAUUGCUGUAAACCCAGCUGGCACAUUUAUUUCCUCUACCGUCUCUGCUGAGUGUGAUGUAUUAUGGCCAUCAUGGAGUGUAAACCGCGUUCAUUCUCAAACUGCUAAUUAACGGAGCCUUUCUUGUGCAGCUGCCUGAGUCCAAGAGCUGUCAAACCGCUGCUAGUCAAAGGGAAGAAAAUAUUACUUCCUCUGAUGUGAGGUAGAGAUUUUCUGUUGGCAGAGGGGGAGGUUAAUUCAGAGAGAAAUGAGAGUUGUAGGCCUGAGCUGCCAACCAUUUUUACACAUUUCCCUAUGCAGUGCCUACUUCCACCUCCCAGGCCCUAGUGCAAGAACUGGUGCAGUCUGCAGACCUGGGGAAAUGGUCUCGUGCCCUGGGGAACCUGAGCCAUGAAGAUGCAUCCUCUAGCUAGGUACCUCUUGAGUGGUGGUCAUGACACUCAGGGAGCUCUUGCCUGUCUUUGACUCCUGAGCUCAUACUGCCUUGCACAUGGGUCUAAAUGAUUGUGGUUUGCUAAGUGAAAAUAUCUUACAACAUGGGUGGUGCCUUGUUAUCAGAAGCCCCUCUAAAUGUGCCUUAUUCCGUGUGAUAUCUUUAAAGCUCUGUUACCAGGACCUAAUCCAAUGUCCAUUGACUCAGUUGGAGUUUUCCACAACAAUUUUUCAUUAUACGUGUGUGUGUAUACACAAAUGCUAACAAUAUUUUAAUUAUGGUUCUAAAUAAAGAUUCUGUUUUUGAAGUUUAACCACAUUCUCAUUAAUCCAGAAGUGAGAUUCUGCUAUGCGUAAUAGAGAAGCACCCUGAUAAAUGCAUACAAAAUGAGAGACCCUGGAAUCCACAGGAAAAAAAGCAAAACAAAAAACCCCAAAUGGUUAAAAUUAAUGCUCGGUUUAUCUAAAUACCACACAUUCCCCCAAUACUAAUGCUGACUUGUGGGUACGAAGUUCGCUGAGACCACAUUUAGUUUUAUGGUUUGGGUUUAAGGCUCUUGCAUCUGUAUGUCUCAUAAAUUCUUUGCUAUUUAAAAGAAAAUAUGUGUUUAUAUGUGCCUAGGGUUUAUCAUACUGAUUUGAGCUUUUCCCAGGAACAGAAUCAAUGGAUAUCUCACUAUUUUAAGUUCUAAAUACAGCUUGAUGAAAACAGUAACAGCUGGAAUUUUCCAAAGGCCUAUAGGGAUUUCCUAUGGGAAAGCGAAUGGACGUGAAUACUUUUAAAAAUACCAGCUGAUAACAUUCACUCUGUAACUCUCAUGGCCAGUGACACCGGACACUGAAUCAAAUUCCAUAAUAAAGUCAAUGUAAUAACUGUACAUUUAA